rnacentral:lncRNA from 1 species
GUUGGUUCAAUGGUGUACAAAGAUGCUCAGAAUACAAGAAAAAUGGAGUUAAAAUAAUCAAUUCAAAUGUGCUAUUUUCUUAAUUCCCAACAUUUCAUGAGGAUUACUUUGUGUGUUGCCGGUCGACCUGGAUUACACUGAAAGAGGAAGCAGCAGCGCACUGUACAUUGGGCUUUAUCGCUAACAUUUCAUUGGCAGUGAAAGGAUACAUCAGAGAGGUCCAAUCACUUCCUGAAGAUCCCCGCUGGGCCAUGGCUGGCAAGAGGAGAAUUCAGCAGGGUAGCUGGUGACAUCUGAGAGUGGGGAACCAAAACUGGCACCAAAAGAGAUAUCUGCAGCCAGAAAUGAGCAGCAGCAGAGCAGCAGAAGGAACCUUUAAAAUGAAGAUCAUGCUGUGCCUGGUAGGAUGCACCUGUGAUUCGAGCACUCCUGCAGGCUAAGGCAGGAAGAUCUCAAGUGCAAGCAUGGGCAAUUUAGCCAAUUGUGAGAUGAAUUCAGUGAAUGACAUGGACUAUGGAGAAAAUAAAAAGGAAUGGGACCCAAAACGCCAUUAUUUAGACAUAGUAUCAAGUACUCUGAAGAAAAGGAGAUCAAAGAGGAUAAUGAAA